rnacentral:rRNA from 1 species
AUUGAACGCUGGCGGCAUGCCUUACACAUGCAAGUCGAACGGCAGCACGGGGGCAACCCUGGUGGCGAGUGGCGAACGGGUGAGUAAUGCAUCGGAACGUACCCGGAAGUGGGGGAUAACGUAGCGAAAGUUACGCUAAUACCGCAUAUUCUGUGGGCAGGAAAGCAGGGGAUCGCAAGACCUUGCGCUUUCGGAGCGGCCGAUGUCGGAUUAGCUAGUUGGUGGGGUAAAGGCCUACCAAGGCGACGAUCCGUAGCGGGUCUGAGAGGAUGAUCCGCCACACUGGGACUGAGACACGGCCCAGACUCCUACGGGAGGCAGCAGUGGGGAAUUUUGGACAAUGGGGGCAACCCUGAUCCAGCCAUGCCGCGUGAGUGAAGAAGGCCUUCGGGUUGUAAAGCUCUUUCGGCCGGGAAGAAAUCGCACGGGAUAAUACCCCGUGUGGAUGACGGUACCGGAAUAAGAAGCACCGGCUAACUACGUGCCAGCCGCCGCAGUAAAAC